GAUGAACGCUGGCGGCGUGCCUAAUACAUGCAAGUAGAACGCUGAAGGAAGGAGCUUGCUCUUUCCGGAUGAGUUGCGAACGGGUGAGUAACGCGUAGGUAACCUGCCUGGUAGCGGGGGAUAACUAUUGGAAACGAUAGCUAAUACCGCAUAACAGUAGAUGUUGCAUGAUAUCUACUUAAAAGGUGCAAUUGCACCACUACCAGAUGGACCUGCGUUGUAUUAGCUAGUUGGUGAGGUAACGGCUCACCAAGGCGACGAUACAUAGCCGACCUGAGAGGGUGAUCGGCCACACUGGGACGGAGACACGGCCCAGACUCCUACGGGAGGCAGCAGUAGGGAAUCUUCGGCAAGGGACGGAAGUCUGACCGAGCAACGCCGCGUGAGUGAAGAAGGUUUUCGGAUCGUAAAGAUCCGUUGUAAGAGAAGAACGAGUGUGAGAGUGGAAAGUUCACACUGUGACGGUAUCUUACCAGAAAGGGACGGCUAACUACGUG
rnacentral:rRNA from 1 species